rnacentral:rRNA from 1 species
GAUGAACGCUGGCGGCGUGCCUAAUACAUGCAAGUCGAGCGAACAGACGAGGAGCUUGCUCCUUUGACGUUAGCGGCGGACGGGUGAGUAACACGUGGAUAACCUACCUAUAAGACGGGGAUAACUUCGGGAAACCGGAGCUAAUACCGGAUAAAUUGUUGAACGGCAUGGUUCAACAGUGAAAGACGGUCUUGCUGUAACUUAUGGAUGGAUCCGCGCCGCAUUAGCUAGUUGGUAAGGUAACGGCUUACCAAGGCAACGAUGCGUAGCCGACCUGAGAGGGUGAUCGGCCACACUGGAACUGAGACACGGUCCAGACUCCUACGGGAGGCAGCAGUAGGGAAUCUUCCGCAAUGGGCGAAAGCCUGACGGAGCAACGCCGCGUGAGUGAAGAAGGUCUUCGGAUCGUAAAACUCUGUUAUUAGGGAAGAACAAAUGUGUAAGUAACUAUGCACGUCUUGACGGUACCUAAUCAGAAAGCCACGGCUAACUACGUG